rnacentral:rRNA from 1 species
AACGAACGCUGGCGGCAGGCUUAACACAUGCAAGUCGAGCGCCCCGCAAGGGGAGCUGCAGACGGGUGAGUAACGCGUGGGAACGUACCUUUUGGUUCGGAACAACUCCGGGAAACUGGAGCUAAUACCGGAUAAGCCCUAACGGGGAAAGAUUUAUCGCCGAAAGAUCGGCCCGCGUCUGAUUAGCUAGUUGGUGAGGUAACGGCUCACCAAGGCGACGAUCAGUAGCUGGUCUGAGAGGAUGAUCAGCCACACUGGGACUGAGACACGGCCCAGACUCCUACGGGAGGCAGCAGUGGGGAAUAUUGGAAAAUGGGGGCAAGCAUGAUCCAGCCAUGACGCGUGAGUGAUGAAGGCCUUAGGGUUGUAAAGCUCUUUUGUCCGGGAAGAUAAUGACUGUACCGGAAGAAUAAGCCCCGGCUAACUUCGUG